GGUUAAUAAGCUUUAGAUAGGGUUGUCUGCUGGCUCGCAAGGGCAUGUGCACGCCUGUCUCAUCCACUCUCAACUUCUGUGCACUUUUCAUAGGCCGGCUUGUGGGUGCGUUCGCGCACUUGUAGGUGUCGGGCUUAUGCUUUACUACAAACGAUUCAGUUUUAGAAUGUCAUACUUUGCUAUAACGCAAUUAUAUACAACUUUCAGCAACGGAUCUCUUGGCUCUCGCAUCGAUGAAGAACGCAGCGAAAUGCGAUAAGUAAUGUGAAUUGCAGAAUUCAGUGAAUCAUCGAAUCUUUGAACGCACCUUGCGCUCCUUGGUAUUCCGAGGAGCAUGCCUGUUUGAGUCUCAUGGAAUUCUCAACCUUCAGCUUUAUUGAUGAAGGCUUGGACUUGGAGGUCGUGCCGGCUCUCGUAGUCGGCUCCUCUGAAAUGCAUUAGUGCGAACGUUACCAGCCGCUUCAGCGUGAUAAUUAUCUGCGUUGCUGUGGAGGGUAUUCUAGUGUUCACGCUUCUAACCGUCUUCGGACAAAUUUCUGAACUCUGAGCUCAAAUCAGGUAGGACUACCCGCUGAACUUAAGCAUAUCAAAGGGCGGAGAGAGAG
rnacentral:rRNA from 1 species